UCCUUGAAGCAUGUGUUGGCCAUGUUGUCUGAGUGUGAUCUGGUUUCUUCCCCAGUCCUGCUGUGGUUUUAGUUUCGGCUCUGGGCUCUCUGGUUCUUCUGCUGGCCCUGGCCAUGUACAGACACAAACAUCCAGUCAACCUCUACCUGCUACUCGUAUUUACUCUGCUGGAAGCAGUUUCUGUGGCCACAGCUUUGACCUUCUAUGAAUACUCCACCGUCA